AUGGCAACAGAAUCCACAACAACAAUGACUUUUAUCAGCAUCUUCAUCUGGGCACUUGUCAUCUGCACUCAAGAAUCCAGUGGACAGUAUACUGUGACUCAGACUCCAGCAGUGAAAUCUGUUCUCCCAGGAGACACAGUCGCUCUGAGCUGUAAAGUCAGCAGCGCAGUGUACAGUGAUAACAACUACCUAGCCUGGUACCAACAGAAACCUGGAGAAGCUCCCAAACUCCUGAUCUACUUGGCAAGUACCCUUCAGUCUGGGAUCCCAACUCGUUUCAGUGGCAGUGGAUCUGGGACUGACUUCACUCUGACCAUCAGUGGAGUCCAGGCUGAAGAUGCAGGAGAUUACUACUGUCAGAGUUACCACUACCCCAGCAGUAGCUAUGUGUUCACACAGUGCUACACACCCGUACAAAAACCUCCCUCA